CUCUGGAGUAUAGAGGAGAAAGCAGAUGUCUCUCUUCGUCAGCUGUGAGGUGGCAAGACUAUGAGAAGCUCUUUAGAGUCGAGGACAGAGUUCCUGGACUCACUCUGGAUUGCAGACAUCUGCAUGUGUCAGUCUGCUGUGAAGGUCUGAGCUGGCUGUGGACGAACAGGGAGAGAAGGUUCUCAGAACAUAGUCCCACUUAGAGGAGACCCUGAGAGUCGCAAAGCAAUAAACGGGCCUGCCAUUUCCCCAAGCCCAACUCGUA